CAGCUUCCCACGUGAAGUUCCUGUUGAAGAAGCCCCCAGCACAUCAGUGAUUUCAUCCUGUGCCUGGUCAUGUGGUCACAGGAUCGGUCUGUGAGCAUGUGCUUCUGUGAAUUUCCCAGAGACCACACAAAUGGCUGUGUGCGAAGAGGAGAGAAGUGGCUGUCACCUGACACACGUUAGCUGUCUUUCCAGAACUCAAGGUUCUAUGAAUUUGUUAUAGAUACAAGGGAUGAUUCUGGUAAAAUCUGGAGAUCUUCAGUUUCUAAAGAAGACUGGCUUCCCAGGCUUAACUCCAGUGGUGUCUGUGCACCAUUGCAUUCAACAAGGGGAAGAGACAUGUACUAAAUCCCAUAUAUUGUGUAGACUGUUGUCACACAUCACUUAUACCAUCUUCAAAAUGGAACCUCGACUUGACAUGUUUUAUCUGAUACCUGUCAACACUGAAAGAGAGAGACACUAUAGUGUCCACAAUGAUAAGCUUUGUUUUUGUUUUUUCUUUCUUUACUUGCUUGUCUUUCGAGUAUUGUCAUAUUCCAAAGCCCCAGAAAUUUCAAAAUCACCAUUUUCCCUUUUUUGCUUCCAUCAUAUUUGUGUAUAAGCCAGGCUAUUCUUUGGUUUCUUGGCCAUCCAGACUUAAAUAAUCACACAGAAACUAUAUUAAUUUCAACACUGUUUGAUCAAUGACUCAAGUGUAUCUCUACCUAGCUCUUACAUCUUAAAUUAACCCAUUUCUAUUCAUCUGUGUAUUUCCAUGAGGUUGUGGCCUACCGGUAAGUUUCUAGCAUCUGUCUCCUUCAGCAGCUAUGUGGUGUCUCCCCUACUUCAGCUAUUCUCUCUAGAUAUCUCUGUUCAGAUUUCCUGCCUAGCUUUACUCUGCUAAGCCGUUGGCCAAAACAGCUUUAUUCAUCAACCAA